UGCACCUGGUGGCGAGUGGCGAACGGGUGAGUAAUACAUCGGAACAUGUCCUGUAGUGGGGGAUAGCCCGGCGAAAGCCGGAUUAAUACCGCAUACGAUCUACGGAUGAAAGCGGGGGACCUUCGGGCCUCGCGCUAUAGGGUUGGCCGAUGGCUGAUUAGCUAGUUGGUGGGGUAAAGGCCUACCAAGGCGACGAUCAGUAGCUGGUCUGAGAGGACGACCAGCCACACUGGGACUGAGACACGGCCCAGACUCCUACGGGAGGCAGCAGUGGGGAAUUUUGGACAAUGGGCGAAAGCCUGAUCCAGCAAUGCCGCGUGUGUGAAGAAGGCCUUCGGGUUGUAAAGCACUUUUGUCCGGAAAGAAAUCCUUGRCYCUAAUACGGUC
rnacentral:rRNA from 1 species